rnacentral:miRNA from 1 species
AUCCUUGGCCUUCCUAGGUGU